rnacentral:lncRNA from 1 species
GUGCUGCCAACCCCUCUGCCACUCCAACCUCAUUUCUCAAGCCUGCUGGCUCCAGCCAUUCUUUCUCUCACCUCCAGCCCUUCAUCUGCUGUUUCUUAUGCCUGGAAAAUGCUUUCUCUUCCUCAGCUCCCCUUUACCCAGAUAAUAUCUCUUCACCUUUCAAGUCUCAGCUUCACGGUCACCUCCUCUAGGAAGCCUCUCUUGAUCCCCCUUAGGCUGGGCUAGGCCUCCUUCUGUCUUCCCUAGGUCUCUCUCCUAGGACACUAGGAGUUUGUCAGAUGAGAGGGAAAGUGCUCAGGUGGUCAGAAGUAACAUUAUGGGGAGGGAGAGAGUCCUCUGUGGGAGCUGCUCUUAGAGGUGGCUCUGAGCAGAUGCCCCGCCCCCAACACGGCUGUGUGGGCUUUGCCAGGGGAGAGGAGCUGCCAGAGCAACAGCGCCUUCCUCCUGACCUCUGCCUCUGCACGUUCCCGUGACUCGCUGAUGGAAAACAUCCACCCCUUCUGGGCCUCUUCCUUAUUUCAUCACUUUAAUAAAUUAAGAACAGAUUGAAAAGCAGGAAACAUUGUCUCCCAGGCCCCAGCACCCACAUUCCAACUCAAUUACAGGAUUUGUUUUUCGGGUCUGACCAGAGGCAGCUGGGAUGCGGCAGAAAGAGUGAGAGAAAGAGUUUAAACCAAGAGGCCAGAGAAGGCAAAUUCAGAUUCCAGCUCAGUCGCUGACCAGGGGCCUCAGGCAAAACCAGUCACCUCUUUGAGCCUCCUCAUCCUCGUCUGGAAAAUGGCUAACAUGGCAUCGGGCCCUCCCUCCCUCCUGGUAACCUAGCUCUGGAGCUUUGAACCAAAACUCCUGGAUUACUUGAGAUCCAAACUCACAGUAGGCUCUGAGAGAGCUGAAAUGUCAGAGUCAGCCUGGAUAGAGACAAACAAAAGCUGAAAGAAUUCAUCACCAGAAGUCAUCACUAUGAGAAAUAUUACGGGAAGUCCUGCAGCCAGAAGGAAAAUGAAACCAGAUGGAAAUAUGGAUCCUCACAAUGGAAUGAGAAAUACCAGAAAUGGCAACUACAUGGGUAAAUGUGCAAGAUUAUUAAAUUACUGUUUAAAUCUCUAAAAAGAUAAUUGACUUUAGUGGGUAUGGAGUUUCAGUUUUACAAGGUGAAAGAGUUAUGGAGAUGGACGUGUGGUGAUGCUUGCACAGCAUUAUGAAAG